rnacentral:rRNA from 1 species
UCGGGUGUAACUCUUCAGUGGGAGAGCGAAGGGCCGUCCUCCAGAAAAGCCCGGCUACUACUGCCAGCACCGCGUUAUUCUAGGCCCAGCGUAUCCGGAUUAUUGGCGUAAGAGUUGUAGGCGUUUGUAGGUCUCCGUGAAGUCCGAGGCUCACCUCGAUCUGCGGUGGUACGGCAGACUAGAUUAUGUAGGGAGACUGAAUUCCUGUGUACCGUGAAUGCGCAGUAUCAGGAGGAACCGGAUGGCGAAGGCAGGUCUCUGGCAUAACUGACGCUGAGGAGCAAAGCAUGGGAGCGAACAGGAUUAGAUACCUGGUAGUCCAUGCCGUAAACGUUGGCACUAGGUGUGGGGACAUUCCACGUUUUCCGCGCCGUAGCUAACGCAUUAAGUGCCCCGCCUGGGGAGUACGGCCGCAAGGCUAAAACUCAAAGGAAUUGACGGGGGCCCGCACAAGCGGCGGAGCAUGCGGAUUAAUUCGAUGCAACGCGAAGAACCUUACCAAGGCUUGACAUGUGCCAGACCGCCGUGGAAACACGGUUUCCCCUUUGGGGCUGGUUCACAGGUGGUGCAUGGUUGUCGUCAGCUCGUGUCGUGAGAUGUUGGGUUAAGUCCCGCAACGAGCGCAACCCUCGUUCUAUGUUGCCAGCGGAUUAUGCCGGGGACUCAUAGGAGACUGCCGGGGUCAACUCGGAGGAAGGUGGGGACGACGUCAAAUCAUCAUGCCCCUUAUGUCUUGGGCUUCACGCAUGCUACAAUGGCCGGUACAAUGGGUUGCGAUACUGUGAGGUGGAGCUAAUCCCAAAAAGCCGGUCUCAGUUCGGAUUGGGGUCUGCAACUCGACCCCAUGAAGUCGGAGUCGCUAGUAAUCGCAGAUCAGCAACGCUGCGGUGAAUACGUUCCCGGGCCUUGUACACACCGCCCGUCAAGUCACGAAAGUUGGUAACACCCGAAGCCGGUGGCCUAACCCCUUGUGGGAGGGAGCCGUCGAAGGUGGGACCGGCGA